rnacentral:tRNA from 1 species
GGCGGACGUAGCCCAGCGGAUCAAGGCAAU